UACGGAAGGCAGCAGUGGGGAAUAUUGUACAAUGGGCGCAAGCCUGAUGCAGCCAUGCCGCGUGUAUGAAGAAGGCCUUCGGGUUGUAAAGUACUUUCAGCGGGGAGGAAGGCGAUGCGGUUAAUAACCGCGUCGAUUGACGUUACCCGCAGAAGAAGCACCGGCUAACUCCGUGCCAGCAGCCGCGGUAAUACGGAGGGUGCAAGCGUUAAUCGGAAUUACUGGGCGUAAAGCGCACGCAGGCGGUCUGUUAAGUCAGAUGUGAAAAUCCCCCGGGCUUAACCUGGGAACUGCAUUUUGAAACUGGCAGGCUUGAGUCUUGUAGAGGGGGUAGAAUUCCAGGUGUAGCGGUGAAAUGCGUAGAGAUCUGGAGGAAUACCGGUGGCGAAGGCGGCCCCUGGGACAAAGACUGACGCUCAGGUGCGAAAGCGUGGGGAGCAAACAGGAUUAGAUACC
rnacentral:rRNA from 1 species